CGCCUCCUCCUCGUUCUCGCGGGAGAGCUCCUCGAGCGAGAGGCCGUUGGACUCGGGCGCGCAGAAGGUGAAGCCCAUGCCGAGGAAGUUGCAGGCGGCGAGGAUGAAGAGCGAGUUCCUCACCCCGAUGCCGGCCUUGUACCCGUGGUCCACCUUGGCCGGGUCCUGGUUCUGCGCCAGGUACAGGAACCCGAACGACCCCACGAUGGCGCCCAGCUUCCCGGCCGCCGCCGAGAUGCCGUGGCACGUCGACCGGAGCCUCGCCGGGAAGAUCUCGGCGGGAACGAUGAAGGUGGUGGAGUUGGGCCCGAAGUUGGCGAAGAAGAAGGUGAGCCCGUACAGCACCACGAACCCGAUGUGGUUCCCCGGCGUCGUCCAGUGGUGGUACGGGAAGGCGAGCCCCAGCAUGAACACCGCCAUGAAGAAGAAGCCGCCCAGCUGGAUCCAGAACCGCCCGAUCCGGUCGAUCAGCGCCACCGUGAACCAGUAGCCCGGCACCGUGCCGCAGAGCGCGAUGAGCGUCUGCGCGCGCGCGAUGCGAUGCACCUCCUCGAGGGCGCUCAUCGUCUUGGCCUUGGGGAUCCAGUUGAUCGCCGUGAAAAUGUCCUUCUGGAACAGGUUCUGCGAGUAGAAGGCGAUGUCCAGCAGGAACCAGCAGGUGGCCGUGCCGAGGAGGUGGAGCCCGUGCCGGCGCAGGAACUCGCCCGAGAAGAGCCCGAACGAGUUGCGGUCGUCGGCGGCUCCGGCGCCGCCGUCGUUGGCCUUGGGGUCCUCUUCCUCGGCGCCGAUGUCCACCUGGAGCACCUUGGACAUGUCGGCCGCGGCCUGCUUGGCGUUCUUGGCGACGAGCGCCGUGUAGCGCGCCGUCUCGGGCAUCUUCAUCCGCCAGUAGUAGGUCAUGAGGGCCGGGACGGCGCCGAACAUGAGGAUGAAGCGCCACACGAAGUCGGCCUGCGGCGGCGUGGAGGCGAGGGGGGCGUCCUGGUAGGCGGGCGUGUGGAAGGCGGCGCGGAACGCGGCGGAGACGAUGAGCGUGACGACGCCGCCGGUGAGGAUGCCGAAGCCCUGCAUGGCGAAGACGGCGGCGAUGAACGCGCCCCUCGUCUUCUUGUUGGCGUACUCGGACAUGAUGGUGGCGGAGGCGAUGGAGCAGAGCACCAUGCACAUGAGCGUCAUGCCGUAGACGCGCUUGCGGCCCAUGCGGUCGCCGAGCCAGCCGAAGAAGAGCUGGCCGGAGAGCGUGCCGCAGAAGGCGACGCCGUUGACGGCGGCGGCGACGUUGGGCGGGAGCGAGCCGGGCGCGUCGGCGCCCUCGCGGUAGUAGUAGAUGCGGCCGAGCAGCUUGGUGACGAGGGAGAUGCAGAAGAGGUCGUAGGCGUCGGUGAAGAAGCCCAUGCCGGCGAUGACGAUGGCCGUGAAGUGGUACCACUGCGUCUUGGCCGCGUCCAGCGCCGUCAGCACCUCCAGCUGCUCGCGCGCCAU
rnacentral:rRNA from 1 species